rnacentral:tRNA from 1 species
GGAGAGAUGGCCGAGUGGUUGAUAGCUCCGGUCUUGAAAACCGGUAUAGUUCUAAAGAACUAUCGAGGGUUCGAAUCCCUCUCUCUCCUUUUU